UACGUAGGGGGCUAGCGUUGUCCGGAAUCAUUGGGCGUAAAGAGCGCGUAGGCGGCCAGAUAAGUCCGGUGUGCAAGUCAAAGGCUCAACCUUUGAAUGCCGCUGGAAACUGUCUGGCUAGAGUCCGGGAGGGGCGAGUGGAAUUCCUGGUGUAGCGGUGAAAUGCGCAGAUAUCAGGAGGAACACCAAUGGCGAAGGCAGCUCGCUGGAACGGUACUGACGCUGAGGCGCGAAAGCGUGGGGAGCGAACAGG
rnacentral:rRNA from 1 species